UACUUUCUUCAUUCGAAACCCGAUCUCAAAAGUAGAGAGACUGGUGUUGGGUAUAAAAUACCCCCCAGCCGAAGUUCGCAAAGGGCCGACCCUUUCAGGGCUCUUCCGGCUUCCGACCUUGUGUAGCAUCUUUCUGAACUCCCUCGACCGUCCGAGCUUCCAUAAUACCAUCCGGAUUUCUCCGAUAUUGAGCUCCUCCAUUCAUGUACCGGGCUGCUCCAAAUGCUCUUUGGACUUCAUUAUCAGCUAAUUUUCUACAGUGAUCGACUAUUCUUUGAAUCUCUUCCAGACUUCUUCCGGUCA
rnacentral:lncRNA from 1 species